rnacentral:rRNA from 1 species
UACGUAGGGUGCGAGCGUUAAUCGGAAUUACUGGGCGUAAAGGGCGCGUAGGCGGUGUGUCAAGUCAGGCGUGAAAGCCCCGGGCUCAACCUGGGAACCGCGCUUGAGACUGGCACGCUAGAGUUCGGGAGAGGAUGGUGGAAUUCCCAGUGUAGAGGUGAAAUUCGUAGAUAUUGGGAAGAACACCGAUGGCGAAGGCAGCCAUCUGGACCGACACUGACGCUGAGGCGCGAAAGCGUGGGGAGCAAACAGG